rnacentral:rRNA from 1 species
GCGACUCUCUGGUCUGUAACUGAUGAUGAUGUGUGACAGCGUGGAGAUCAAACAGGAUUAGAUAGCUUGGUAGUCCACGCUGUAAACGAUGAGUGCUAAGUGUUAGGGGGUUUCCGCUCUUUAGUGCUGCAGUUAACGCAUUAAGCACUCCCCUUGGGGAGUACGACCGCAAGGUUGAAACUCAAAGGAAUUGACGGGGACCCGCACAAGCGGUGGAGCAUGUGGUGUAAUUCGAAGCAACGCGAAGAACCUUACCAAAUCUUGACAUCCUCUGACCCCUCUAGAGAUAGAGUUUUCCCCUUAGGGGGACAGAGUGACAGGUGGCGCAUGGUCGUCGUCAGCUCGUGUCGUGAGAUGUUGGGUUAAGUCCCGCAACGAGCGCAACCCUUAAGCUUAGUUGCCAUCACUAAGUUGGGCACUCUAAGUUGACUGCCGGUGACAAACCGGAGGAAGGUGGGGAUGACGUCAAAUCAUCAUGCCCCUUAUGAUUUGGGCUACACACGUGCUACAAUGGACAAUACAAAGGGCAGCGAAACCGCGAGGUCAAGCAAAUCCCAUAAAGUUGUUCUCAGUUCGGAUUGUAGUCUGCAACUCGACUAUAUGAAGCUGGAAUCGCUAGUAAUCGUAGAUCAGCAUGCUACGGUGAAUACGUUCCCGGGUCUUGUACACACUCGCCCGUCACACCACGAGAGUUUGUCAAC